rnacentral:rRNA from 1 species
UACGUAGGGGGCUAGCGUUGUCCGGAUUUAUUGGGCGUAAAGGGCGCGUAGGCGGCCACCGCAAGUCGACUGUGAAAUCUCCGGGCUUAACCCGGAAAGGUCAGCCGAUACUGCGGGGCUAGAGUGCAGAAGGGGCAACUGGAAUUCUCGGUGUAGCGGUGAAAUGCGCAGAUAUCAGGAGGAACACCGGUGGCGAAGGCGGGUCUCUGGGCCGAUACUGACGCUGAGGAGCGAAAGCGUGGGGAGCGAACAGG